rnacentral:lncRNA from 1 species
GAGUCCGGAUGCAGUCUACCUGCAGUAGAAGUCGGGGAUGAAGUCCGGCUCCCGUAGGAGUCUGGAUGAAGUCUACCUGCGGUUGGAGCCGGGGACGAAGUCCGACUCCCGUAGGAGUCCAGAUGAAGUCUACCUACGGUAGAAGUCGAGGACGAAGUCCGGCUCUCGUAGGAGUCUGGAUGAAGAAUUCCUUCAGUUGAAAUCGGGGA